CUGGGGUGUGCACUCCGCUGCCCGGGGACUGCAGGGCCGGGAGUCCCCCUGCACCCACGCUCCCGCCGCCCCGCAGAUAAAGUUGAUCCUGGGAACUGGCAUAACUGCUAUUUAGAAGUGGGAAAGCUAAUUCUGCAAAGACUGAUGCAUAUGCAUUACUCAUAGCUGCUAAGCAUGAACAACUCUUGUUGACUUCACCAGAAGUUGUGGAUGCACCUCACCUCUUAAAAUUGGGCCAGAAGAACCUCUCUCAAUCCUUGCUGAAGGCCAAAAAACGCAACAUCAGACUGGUACUAACUUCUCAUGAGAAAAAUCCAUUUAAUUCUAUCUCUGAAGUGAGUCAACAGAUUCCCUCUUGUGUGGGAGCUUGUGAAAUUGUUGAUAAGGUUCAGUAGAGGAUGA